GUUGCUGUUUAUUUGUAAGAAGGUGUGUUUACAGCAGUGGCUAGCAUAAGGUUGCUGUUUAUUUGUAAGAAGGCAUGUAUACAGCAGUGGCUAGCAUAAGGUUGCUGUUUAUUUGUAAGAAGGUGUGUUUACAGCAGUGGCUAGCAUAAGGUUGCUGUUUAUUUGUAAGAAGGUGUGUCUACAGCAGUGGCUAGCAUAAGGUUGCUGUUUAUUUGUAAGAAGGUGUGUUUACAGCAGUGGCUAGCAUAAGGUUGCUGUUUAUUUGUAAGAAGGUGUGUUUACAGCAGUGGCUAGCAUAAGGUUGCUGUUUAUUUGUAAGAAGGUGUGUUUACAGCAGUGGCUAGCAUAAGGUUGCUGUUUAUUUGUAAGAAGGUGUGUUUACAGCAGUGGCUAGCAUAAGGUUGCUGUUUAUUUGUAAGAAGGUGUGUUUACAGCAGUGGCUAGCAUAAGGUUGCUGUUUAUUUGUAAGAAGGUGUGUCUACAGCAGUGGCUAGCAUAAGGUUGCUGUUUAUUUGUAAGAAGGUGUGUUUACAGCAGUGGCUAGCAUAAGGUUGCUGUUUAUUUGUAAGAAGGUGUGUUUACAGCAGUGGCUAGCAUAAGGUUGCUGUUUAUUUGUAAGAAGGUGUGUCUACAGCAGUGGCUAGCAUAAGGUUGCUGUUUAUUUGUAAGAAGGUGUGUUUACAGCAGUGGCUAGCAUAAGGUUGCUGUUUAUUUGUAAGAAGGUGUGUUUACAGCAGUGGCUAGCAUAAGGUUGCUGUUUAUUUGUAAGAAGGUGUGUAUACAGCAGUGGCUAGCAUAAGGUUGCUGUUUAUUUGUAAGAAGGUGUGUCUACAGCAG